CUGAGGUCCCCUUGCAAGCGCUAGCCGCGAACCCCGCCAGGCCCGGGAGGGAGCAACGGUAGUGGAACAGCGCUGUGCUGAGUUUUGGCUUUCGGGA
rnacentral:SRP_RNA from 1 species